UGCCUCUCGUCUUGAUGUCGAGACUUUCUAGGCCCACUGUAUUCUAAAGCGGCCAGCGGAAUAACGUCUUAACAAAAAAUUGUACAAGAUGGCGGACAAAGGAGAACAACGGUUUACAGAAGCUGAGAAGAGACAAAUAGAAAUUUGGAAUAGACAGUUCAUGCAAAAGAAGUACUUCGCACAGAUCAGGAGAAGAAAUAUGAUGGUAUUCGGAGGUCUUUUAACUUCUGUUGCAGCCAUUUAUGGAUACACACUCUUUGCAACUAAACAGGAACACCUGGACUUUGAGGAGUAACAAUUAUGGAUGCUGCAACAAAAGGGAAUUGUUUGGUGCAUAAUAUAUGCAUUCAUGAACAACAGACUUAAGAAGGAUUCUUAAACUUGAUGCAAAGGCAGGCCUUGGUGUUUGUGUAGGGCAGAGGAAGAGUAGUAAUGUCCAUAUAAAAUUUAACUCAUUUGAAGAGAAUUCUUGAACUCAUUGCCAUGUCAAAGAUGUGUUCUUUUAAUUGAGAUGGUCUUGAUAUUAUAAUAACUUACAUUAAAAACCUUUGCAUCAGUCAAUAUCAUGUUCAUGUUGGACAAAGCUACUUUAUUAUAUUCUAUAAAAUGUAUUGUUAGGCUGGAGAAAGAACAAAGAUGUCAUUGAAGACCAAGAAGGAAAAACAAUGAAGAUUGUGAACGAUGAACUUGAGUAGGCCAACAUAACUUAGCGUAAGAAGGAACUUUUCAAAAACCUUUAACUCCCAAGAUUUCAAUGGUAAUUCUCUUCACUGUCCACCAUACAAUUCUUGUAAUGUUAGUCAGAAGAAUUUGGUAUUAGAUCAACUAAGAAUUCUUUGAUAAUGUUCUUUUUUUAUAACUUGUCUACGCGAGAUUGUAUUUAUAUUUUCAGGACAAAUUCUUUCUUUGUCACCCAUGGGAGUUAUUCAUGCUUGAAUUAGUGCCAAGGAGCUCAUCAUACUGGGUUCGGUUGUUCAAAGGGUAGAUGAUACCAACCAUGGAUAAAACACUAUCCAGGGGACAAGCAUUAACAAAACACACUCUGCUAUCCGCCGGAUAGCAAUUUAUCCUGUGAAUAGCAUUAUCCACUUUACAAAUAACAAGGGCUUAACGAGUAAGGACCUCAUGCUGAGAUUAAAAAUAAGAACAGGAAGAAACAUGCAUGGCUGACUGUGUGAUGAUGAUGGUAGUAGCGUCAAUAAACUAUUUUUUAAUGUAA